UACUAAAAAAUAAUAAUAUUUAGUGCACAAUCUUUGCACCCACUUUUUAAAGUAAGUUUUACAUGGAAUUUUAAGCAGUUUAAGCAUUUGCAAAUUUUAAAGUAAGCUUUACAUGGAGUUUUAAGCAGUUUAGGCUAAAAAAAAAAUUAAGCAAUUGCUUAAAAUUACAUGUGAAACUUGCUUAAAAAGAGGGACGCAAAAAUGAUGCACUAUAUUUUUUAGUAAAUCGAGCUAAUUAUUUUUAACACUGUAAAAUGAUUUUAAUUCUCAGUAAAUAUAGCUUCAAAAUACAAGCAGAUUUUACUAAUAAAUUUAAGUAAAAAUUGAUUCCUGUCCUUAGCAAAUAUAGCUAAAAUAAAUGUAAAGAAUUUGCUCAUUAAUUUGAGUUUUGCACAUUACUUGAAUUAUGGCUAUAAUCAUUACUAAAUAUACUGAGCUUUUGGUUUACUUAUAAAAAUUGUUAACACUAUAAGCAAUUUUGAGCAAAGUCAAGAGUCACGUGACGCAGAUCGGGAGCCUGCGCAGCAGCCAUUUUAAACGGUGGUGUUACUGUUAAGACCUCUUCAGGAAUUAAGUUUGUUUCCGACGGACGCCACGGACCAUUAAACAGUUGCCACUGACCUGAGCUGUGACAGACAGCUGAGCUCUCUGAUAUCGUUCAUGUUGUGCGUUCAUGUCAAAUAUAGGGGGCGCACCAGAUGACACUCCAUGUGAGGCUGAAAUAGUUCUGGAAUGGUGUUCAGGUUCUGUGAGGAUUGUCCAGUCUCACCAAAGCGUGCAUUUCCUUGUUUGGCCGAAUAUAUUGUCUUGAUCUUAAGACUUGGGUACACUUUUAAAUUCUUUAAAAAAUACUGCUGCACUUAGACAGUGCAAAACUGUCUCAGAAGAUUUUAACAUUAAAAAAUAAACUGAGUGUUGCGUUAAUUUUCUAAACACAUUCAUACACCACACUCAGACACACGUGUACAACACAAAUGUAGUAGCAUGUUAAUUAAUGUUAUUGUUACAACAUUUACUUGUUGUUUACUUAUUUUUAAAUGAAUCUCUUGCCCUGUUAGCAACAUACGGCAUACAACCAUAGACAUUACAUGCUGAUUCAUGUUAUUGUUAUGAAAUGUGUUGUUUAAUUUUUUAUGAAUUUUUAUGCCUUGUAGCAACAUAUUAUGCACUAUAUUUUUAAGUUAAUCCAGCCUUUUUUAGUGGAUGUUGUUUGCAUCCACUUUUUAAAUGAAGUUUCACAUGGAAUGUUAAGCAAUUUAUGCAAUUGCUUAAAAUUUAAUGUAAAACUUCCUUUAAAAAAGGGAUGCAAAAAUAAUUCACCAGAUUUUUAAGUCAAUCCAGUGUUUUUUUUUACAGCCUUGUUUCUAUGAUUUUUUUUAACUUAAUCAAAAAUGUUCAAAACAAUAGAUGUUGUAUUUAAAAAAGUUCUACAAAUAAAAAAACUUUUAUUUUUAUUGUCCUGUGUCUUCUUGUAGUUAAUGUAUUAUAAAUUAGAUGUAAAUGAUAAGUUGUAAUGGUAUAAACAAGACUUUAAUGGUAGACAUAACUUAAAAUACAGU